UUACGGCCAUAUCUCAUUGAAAUACCGAUUCACGUACGAUCACCGAAGUUAAACAACGUCAAGCUUGGUCCGAACCUAGAUAGGUGACCACUUGGGAAUAUCAGAUGCUGUAA